UACAGAGGGUGCGAGCGUUACUCGGAAUUACUGGGCGUAAAGCGCGCGUAGGCGGCUUUGCAAGUCGGGUGUGAAAUCCCCAGGCUCAACCUGGGAACUGCAUUCGAGACUGCAUUGCUAGAGUAUGGGAGAGGGAAGUGGAAUUUCCGGUGUAGCGGUGAAAUGCGUAGAUAUCGGAAGGAACAUCAGUGGCGAAAGCGACUUCCUGGACCAAUACUGACGCUCAUGUGCGAAAGCGUGGGUAGCAAACAGG
rnacentral:rRNA from 1 species